rnacentral:rRNA from 1 species
GACGAACGCUGGCUGCGUGCUUAACACAUGCAAGUCGAACGAAGUUGCGAACGGGUGAGUAACGCGUAAUCAACCUGCCCUUCAGAGGGGGACAACAGUUGGAAACGACUGCUAAUACCGCAUACUGAAGGCGGGGCUUGCGUCUGAGUGGGUAGUUGGAGGGGUAACGGCCCACCAAGGCGAUGAUCAGUAGCCGGUCUGAGAGGAUGAACGGCCACAUUGGGACUGAGACACGGCACAGACUCCGACGGGAGGCAGCAGUGGGGAAUUUUCCGGAAUGGACGAAAGUAUGACGGAGCAACGCCGCGUGAGGGAGGAGGGCCUUCGGGUUGUAAAGGUCUGUUAAUCGGGACGCGGUACCGGAAUAGAAAGCCACGGCUAACUACGUGCCAGCAGCCGCGGUAAUAC